UACGGAGGGUGCAAGCGUUACUCGGAAUCACUGGGCGUAAAGGACGCGUAGGCGGGUUGUCAAGUCAGGUGUGAAAUCCUACAGCUUAACUGUAGAACUGCACUUGAAACUGGCAACCUAGAGUAUGGGAGGGGGAGAUGGAAUUAGUGGUGUAGGGGUAAAAUCCGUAGAUAUCACUAGGAAUACCUAAAGCGAAGGCGAUCUCCUGGAACAUUACUGACGCUAAGGCGUGAAAGCGUGGGGAGCAAACAGG
rnacentral:rRNA from 1 species